GCAAGCAUGGUGUUUGCUUUGCUUACCUUCACUGAAAUUAUCUUGUCCCGGCCCUAACCUAAGUUCUUCCACACAAGGGUGAAGAUGGCACCAGGCCAGCAGCCACCUCCCGUGGGCCUCCCCAGGCUAGCAGCAGGUGUGUCUACACCUGGGGGAAGAGCUGGUCCUGUGAGAUUGUCCAGACCACCCUUGUGGACAGAGCCUCCUUUCCAUGUCAGUCCAGCUCUGCUAUGCGUGUUAGAGACUCACAGACCACAAACCUUCCCUGCGGGGAAAGUGCCACCAAAGCAAGAUGCAGUCAACUCUCCAGCCAACCACAAAUCCUGGAGAUCUAGAAGGGAAUCCUUAGUUUCCUUUGCCUUGUGACAGCUUUAGCCUAGAAUACAAACGGGUGUGCCAGAGGCAUCACGAGUGAUCAAAAUUAAAUUCCAAAGAACUCCAAGGAAACACAGGACAAGAAACAUCAGGACUGUCAGAAUGUUCUGGAAAUCACAGGAUGGUGAUCUGGGGAAUGAAGACUUGAUCUUGCUUCACUUGUAGUUUGCUUCUGCCCAUAAACAAGGGCCUCCUUACCUGACUUUCCUCUUGUCCCCUCCCUCAAGUUUCUCUUCUGGUAAUGGUGAAGAAUUGCAAUCCCUCAAAAGCUAUAAUAGGAACCAAGAACCACGUGAAAAUAAAGAGGAGCGCGGACGAGGUCAAGUUGCUCAGGGCGCAGGUAGAAGGAGAGGCGGUGACUCA